rnacentral:rRNA from 1 species
UUGUAAUUUGUAGAGGAUGCUUUUGGCGCGGUGCCUUCCGAGUUCCCUGGAACGGGACGCCUUAGAGGGUGAGAGCCCCGUACGGUUGGACACCAAGCCUCUGUAAAGCUCCUUCGACGAGUCGAGUAGCUUGGGAAUGCUGCUCUAAAUGGGAGGUAAAUUUCUUCUAAAGCUAAAUAUUGGCCAGAGACCGAUAGCGCACAAGUAGAGUGAUCGAAAGAUGAAAAGCACUUUGAAAAGAGGGUUAAACAGCACGUGAAAUUGUUGAAAGGGAAGCGUUUGCGACCAGACCUUUUCCUAGCGGAUCAUCCGGUGUUCUCACCGGUGCACUUCGCUAGGUUUAGGCCAGCAUCGGUUUCUGUAGGGGGAUAAAAGCUCUGGGAACGUAGCUCCUCCGGGAGUGUUAUAGCCCUCUGCAUAAUACCCUUACGGGGACCGAGGACCGCGCUUCGGCAAGGAUGCUGGCGUAAUGGUCGUCAACGACCCGUCUUG